rnacentral:tRNA from 1 species
GCCAGCGGUGCAAAAUAAGCGCGUCUAUGCCCUGGGUACGGAGACGUUCCGUCUGGAUUAUUACAGCGCAACAUUGUUGCUUAAC